rnacentral:rRNA from 1 species
UACGAAGGGGGCUAGCGUUGCUCGGAAUCACUGGGCGUAAAGGGUGCGUAGGCGGGUCUUUAAGUCAGAGGUGAAAUCCUGGAGCUCAACUCCAGAACUGCCUUUGAUACUGAAGAUCUUGAGUUCGGGAGAGGUGAGUGGAACUGCGAGUGUAGAGGUGAAAUUCGUAGAUAUUCGCAAGAACACCAGUGGCGAAGGCGGCUCACUGGCCCGGAACUGACGCUGAGGUGCGAAAGCGUGGGGAGCAAACAGG